CCUACGGGUGGCAGCAGUGGGGAAUAUUGCACAAUGGGGGAAACCCUGAUGCAGCGACGCCGCGUGAGUGAAGAAGUAUUUCGGUACGUAAAGCUCUAUCAGCAGGGAAGAAAAAAAGUCCUUUGGACUUUGGACGGUACCUGACUAAGAAGCCCCGGCUAACUACGUGCCAGCACCCGCGGUCAUACGAAGGGGGCAAGCGUUAUUCGGAUUUACUGGGGGGAAAGGGAGCGUAGACGGCAGCGCAAGUCUGGAGUGAAAUGCCGGGGCCCAACCCCGGAACUGCUUUGGAAACGGUGCAGCUGGAGUGCAGGAGAGGUAAGCGGAAUGCCUAGUGUAGCGGUGAAAUGCGUAGAUAUUAGGAGGAACACCAGUGGCGAAGGCGGCUUACUGGACUGUAACUGACGUUGAGGCUCGAAAGCGUGGGGAGCAAACAGGAUUAGAUACCCGUGUAUUC
rnacentral:rRNA from 1 species